rnacentral:rRNA from 1 species
GNNCCNCNNCCUGCNGNCGACGAUUCCUACGGGAGGCAGCAGUAGGGAAUCUUCCGCAAUGGACGAAAGUCUGACGGAGCAACGCCGCGUGAGUGAUGAAGGUUUUCGGAUCGUAAAACUCUGUUGUUAGGGAAGAACAAGUACCAGAGUAACUGCUGGUACCUUGACGGUACCUAACCAGAAAGCCACGGCUAACUACGUGCCAGCAGCCGCGGUAAUACGUAGGUGGCAAGCGUUGUCCGGAAUUAUUGGGCGUAAAGCGCGCGCAGGCGGUCCUUUAAGUCUGAUGUGAAAGCCCACGGCUCAACCGUGGAGGGUCAUUGGAAACUGGGGGACUUGAGUACAGAAGAGAAGAGUGGAAUUCCACGUGUAGCGGUGAAAUGCGUAGAGAUGUGGAGGAACACCAGUGGCGAAGGCGACUCUUUGGUCUGUAACUGACGCUGAGGCGCGAAAGCGUGGGGAGCAAACAGGAUUAGAUACCCUGGUAGUCCACGCUGUAAACGAUGAGUGCUAAGUGUUAGAGGGUUUCCGCCCUUUAGUGCUGCAGCUAACGCAUUAAGCACUCCGCCUGGGGAGUACGGCCGCAAGGCUGAAACUCAAAUGAAUUGACGG